ACACUACGAAAAUAAUUUUCAACGAGUAGCGUGUGAUUAUUUGUUGUUAGAAAUUUAGCAGAUUCUAACCACCUAUAUCUACAAUGCGAUAAUAUGCAAGCCCCUCAUUUUUUUUUAGAAUGAUUUCGAUAGCAACAACAACAAACAGAUUGGAAGUAUGUUGAGCAUCGAAUGAAGAUGACCCCAGCACGAAAAAGCAGCUGCCUCACUGAAGAAAGUGUUGAAUGAGUCAUCACCCGCCUCUUCACUUGGUCCACCAAGCAUCAGCCCAUCUGGCUGAAUCGCAUGUUCCAAGCAAUACAACUCCCAGCAUGCAUUGCCUAUUUGUACUCCUGCCUGGCCAAUGUGAAGGGAUAUGCACUCCCGCUGGAUUACCAAGAAAAAAAGCUAUUGUAAUUUGUGCACGUUUACAAAUUAUUUUCACUUAGUGUCUUUCAUCUAGAAGUGGAUUUAUAGCUUUUAUGAAUUAUUUUAAAAAUGGUUUAGACGUUGAAAAUCUUGACAAAAAGACAUUGAAAAUCUUGACAAAAAUGUUUUUUUGAUCAAGUGGCAUAUUCUUUUUAAAAUAAAAGGAACUUUUGAUAACAAUAUGAAAGCUUUAAAAUACAAACAAAAUGUUGUAUAACCGGGAUCACUGGAUUUGAUUUUAGAAAUAACCUACUUUCUGAAUUCCAGUGAAAAAAAAAAUUAGGAAAAUGAAAGCUAACAAGAAAUGUAAAGUGAAGUAUUUACCAUUCCGCCAGAGGCGUGAAACCUGUUUGGUUUUGUGUAGUGUCGAGCUUUUUUUCUUUCACUACGUAGGUUUUUUACUUGCUUUUCCCCGAGGAAAAACACGUCUCCCUAGACAGAGAUGUUUGGGGCUUUAAAAGUGUUCCUAAUUGAAAGCAUCACAAUGGAUAAUGAGCUAAUUAUUUAGCUAAUAGAUUAAUUACCUGAUUCCUUGAAACUGAGGAAAAUUCGAUGUGUUAAUUCCAUGUUUUCUGGUACUUUUUAGCUUUUUCCAUACGCUAAAUUAAAACAACUAAAGGAAA